rnacentral:tRNA from 1 species
GGGGUUGUAGCUCAGUGGUAGAGCGCCCGCUUUGCAUAUUCUGAAUGCGGGAGGUCUUGGGUUCAAUCCCCAACAGCUCCA